UACGAAGGGUGCAAGCGUUACUCGGAAUUACUGGGCGUAAAGCGUGCGUAGAUGGUUUGUUAAGUCUGUUGUGAAAGCCCCGGGCUCAACCUGGGAAUGGCAAUGGAUACUGGCAAGCUAGAGUGCGGUAGAGGGUAGUGGAAUUCCCGGUGUAGCGGUGAAAUGCGUAGAGAUCGGGAGGAACACCAGUGGCGAAGGCGGCUACCUGGACCAGCACUGACACUGAGGCACGAAAGCGUGGGGAGCAAACAGG
rnacentral:rRNA from 1 species